rnacentral:rRNA from 1 species
CUCAGUUCGGAUUGUAGGCUGAAACUCGCCUACAUGAAGCUGGAGUUACUAGUAAUCGCAGAUCAGAAUGCUGCGGUGAAUGCGUUCCCGGGUCUUGUACACACCGCCCGUCACACCACGGAAGUUGGGGGCGCCCGAAGCCACUUAGCUAACCCUUUGGGAAGCGAGUGUCGAAGGUGAAAUCAAUAACUGGGGUGAAGUCGUAACAAGGUAUC